UCUGAGUUCUAUGGCACUCAUUGUGAGUACCGGGACUUUAGCCGGAAGGAUUUAAGAACCGUUCCACUUCCGGUAACGCCGGAAGCAGUUCCAAGAUGGCGACCUCCAUAGCGCCUGGGAAGAGUGGAUUUCGUAACCAGAAGCAGAAGAACCGAGAUGAGUCAGAGCUCCUCACUGUACCUGAUGGUUGGGGGGAUCCAGCUUUUUCCAGAGGACAAACGCAGAGGACUCUUGGGAAGCAGUUUUGCAUCUCUGUUCCCAAAUACAGAGAUUGGCAAAAGUAGGCUCACGGUUUUCAUAUGGAAAAAGACAUGCAGCAUGUUAAUGCAACCCUGGACCUGAUCAAGGGCCUCAUGACUGUACAACAAAGAAGACUUUUGAUCCAUACAUCAUCACUAGGGUCAGAGACCUAAUAAAACUAUUAGCAAGGAGUGUUUCAUUUGAGCAGGCAGUAUGAAUUCUUCAGAAUGGGGUUGCAUGCGAUAUCAUUAAGUUGUUUAGUAAGAAGUAAAAAAAGAUUUGUAAAAAGAGGAUCAUGGCUUAUUGGUCCCAAAGGAUCUACAGUGAAGGCAUUGGAACUCUUAACAAACUGUUGAAUUAUGGUUCAAAGAAACACGGUAUCAGCCAUUGGACUUUUUAGUGUCUUUAAAGAGCUUCUAUUGAAACUAAAAUUGACGUGGCUGCCAUCAAGGAAAAGGUUAAGAAAGCAAAGAUUAAGAAACUGUGAGCUCUCACAGCUGAAGAAGUUAAGCUUAAGAUGGAAGCAGAUGAGAAGAAAGAAAAGUAAUACACACACACACAUACACACACAACCUGAACUAGAACCUACUAAGCUAUCUCUUUUUAUAAAGGACUUUGAGAUACUAGGGCAUUAGUUGUCUUAUGUGUAAGAAGUAAUAUUCUAAUUAUUUUUUUUCUGAAUGUGUUUUUCUUUAUGAGAGUAUUUAUAUGUAUGGCUAUUCUUUAUAAAUAUAAAUUAUUGUAUUCUC